rnacentral:tRNA from 1 species
GGUGAUGUAGGGUAGUAUCCUGCAAGUCUUA